rnacentral:rRNA from 1 species
AGUGAACGCUGGCGGUAGGCCUAACACAUGCAAGUCGAGCGACAGCACAGUAAGAGCUUGCUCUUACGGGUGGCGAGUGGCGGACGGGGGAGUAAUACAUCGGAAUCUACUUUUUCUUGGGGGAUAACGUAGGGAAACUUACUCUAAUACCGCAUACGACCUACGGGUGAAAGCCGGGGAUCUUCGAGCCUUGCGCGGUUGAAGUGGCCGAUGUCGGAUUAGCUAGUUGGCGGGGUAAAGGGCCACCAAGGCGACGAUCGGUAGCUGGUAUGAGAGGAUGAUCACACAGACUGGAAGUGAGACAGGGUCGCGACUCCUACAGUAGGCAGCAGUGGGGAAUCUUGGGAAAGGGGCGAGAGCCGGAUCCAGCAAAACCGCGUGAGUGCAGAACGACUUAGGGUUGUAAAGCCCUGUUGUUCGGAAAGAAAAGAAGCAGGUUCAUCUCCCGCUAUUCUGACGGUACCAAAAGAAUAAGCACCGGCUAACUUCGUG